rnacentral:misc_RNA from 1 species
UCUCCGUUGGUGAACCUGCGGAGGGAUCAUUACUGAGUGAGGGCUUCGGUCCGACCUCCAACCCUUUGUGAACCAAACUUGUUGCUUCGGGGGCGACCCUGCCGUUCGGCGCGGCGCCCCCGGAGGCUCAUCAAACACUGCAUCUCUGCGUCGGAGUAUUAGUAAAUCUAAUCAAAACUUUCAGCAACGGAUCUCUUGGUUCCGGCGUCGAUGAAGAACGCAGC